GACGAACGCUGGCGGCAUGCCUUACACAUGCAAGUCGAACGGCAGCAUAGGAGCUUGCUCCUGAUGGCGAGUGGCGAACGGGUGAGUAAUAUAUCGGAACGUGCCCUAGAGUGGGGGAUAACUAGUCGAAAGACUAGCUAAUACCGCAUACGAUCUACGGAUGAAAGUGGGGGAUCGCAAGACCUCAUGCUCCUGGAGCGGCCGAUAUCUGAUUAGCUAGUUGGUGGGGUAAAAGCUCACCAAGGCGACGAUCAGUAGCUGGUCUGAGAGGACGACCAGCCACACUGGGACUGAGACACGGCCCAGACUCCUACGGGAGGCAGCAGUGGGGAAUUUUGGACAAUGGGGGCAACCCUGAUCCGGCAAUGCCGCGUGAGUGAAGAAGGCCUUCGGGUUUUAAACUGCUUUUGUACGGAACGAAACGGUGAGCUCUAAUACAGUUUGCUAAUGACGGUACCGUAAGAAUAAGCACCGGCUAACUACUUGCCAGCAGCCGCCGUAA
rnacentral:rRNA from 1 species